UGCGGUUUAGAGUAGUGGUUUACUCAAAGGUCUCAUAAGCCUUGCACACAAGUUCGAAUCUUGUAACCGCAA
rnacentral:tRNA from 1 species